GGAUGCGAUCAUACCAGCACUAAAGCACCGGAUCCCAUCAAAACUCCGAAGUUAAGCGUGCCUGGGCGAGAGUAGUACUAGGAUGGGUGACCUCCUCGGAAGUCCUCGUGUUGCAUUCC
rnacentral:rRNA from 1 species